UACGUAGGUGGCAAGCGUUGUCCGGAUUUACUGGGCGUAAAGAGCGCGAAGGCGGUCGUUCAAGUCGCGUGUGAAAGCCCCCGGCUCAACUGGGGAGGGUCACGCGAUACUGAUCGACUCGAAGGCAGGAGAGGGAAGUGGAAUUCCCGGUGUAGUGGUGAAAUGCGUAGAUAUCGGGAGGAACACCAGUGGCGAAGGCGACUUCCUGGCCUGUUCUUGACGCUGAGGCGCGAAAGCUAGGGGAGCAAACGGG
rnacentral:rRNA from 1 species